rnacentral:rRNA from 1 species
GGUGAGUAAUGUCUGGGAAACUGCCUGAUGGAGGGGGAUAACUACUGGAAACGGUAGCUAAUACCGCAUAACGUCGCAAGACCAAAGAGGGGGACCUUCGGGCCUCUUGCCAUCACAUGUGCCCAGAUGGGAUUAGCUAGUAGGUGGGGUAACGGCUCACCUAGGCGACGAUCCCUAGCUGGUCUGAGAGGAUGACCAGCCACACUGGAACUGAGACCCUGUCCAGACUCCUACGGGAGGCAGCAGUGGGGAAUAUUGCACAAUGGGCGCAAGCCUGAUGCAGCCAUGCCGCGUGUAUGAAGAAGGCCUUCGGGUUGUAAAGUACUUUCAGCGGGGAGGAAGGUGAUGAGGUUAAUAACCUUGUCAAUUGACUUUACCCGCAGAAGAAGCACCGGCUAACUCCGUGCCAGACAGCCGCGGUAAUACGGAGGGUGCAAGCGUUAAUCGGAAUUACUGGGCGUGAAGUGCACGCAGGUUGUCUGUCAAGUCGGAUGUGAAAUCCCCGUGCUCAACCUGGGAACUGCAUUCGAAACUGGCAGGCUGGAGUCUUGUAGAGGGGGGGAGAAUUCCA